GAUGAACGCUAGCUACAGGCUUAACACAUGCAAGUCGAGGGGCAGCAUGAACUUAGCUUGCUAAGUUUGAUGGCGACCGGCGCACGGGUGAGUAACACGUAUCCAACCUGCCGAUGACUCGGGGAUAGCCUUUCGAAAGAAAGAUUAAUACCCGAUGGCAUAGUUCUUCCGCAUGGUAGAACUAUUAAAGAAUUUCGGUCAUCGAUGGGGAUGCGUUCCAUUAGGUUGUUGGCGGGGUAACGGCCCACCAAGCCUUCGAUGGAUAGGGGUUCUGAGAGGAAGGUCCCCCACAUUGGAACUGAGACACGGUCCAAACUCCUACGGGAGGCAGCAGUGAGGAAUAUUGGUCAAUGGGCGAGAGCCUGAACCAGCCAAGUAGCGUGAAGGAUGACUGCCCUAUGGGUUGUAAACUUCUUUUAUACGGGAAUAAAGUUAGCCACGUGUGGUUUUUGUAUGUACCGUAUGAAUAAGGAUCGGCUAACUCCGUG
rnacentral:rRNA from 1 species